UACGGGGGGGGCAAGCGUUGUUCGGAAUUACUGGGCGUAAAGGGCUUGUAGGUGGCCAACUAAGUCAGACGUGAAAUCCCUCGGCUUAACCGGGGAACUGCGUCUGAUACUGGAUGGCUUGAGUGUGGGAGAGGGAUGCGGAAUUCCAGGUGUAGCGGUGAAAUGCGCAGAUAUCCGAAGGAACACCGGUGGCGAAGGCGGCUUCCUGGACCGACACUGACGCUGAGGCGCGAAAGCUAGGGGAGCAAACGGG
rnacentral:rRNA from 1 species